UAAUCAAAUAAAUGUUAGAAAUACGUCUUCUACAUAUCCUUUGUAUCCUUUUUAUGAAUCGAGACUUUACCUUCUUCAUCUUUAACACACUCCACCUGAUUCAAAUCUCUUAUCUUUCUUUCUCUUCCUUUUGCAAGCCUUUAUAUAAAACUUCCCCAUUAUUGACUUCUAAAGAUUAAUAUAAAUCAUAAAACACUUGGGUUCUUGCUUAACUUACCAUCAUCUUUGUCUCUUUCUUAGCUUUCUUAUAUUUAUCUCAACUUUCGACAUUUUUACACAUGGACCAAUCUUUAAAACAUUCAUUUCUUAUUCUAACUUUACUCCGAGCACUUUGAUUCCACCAUCAUGAUACUUUACCCCUAGGUCUAAAACCUUUUGAUUCUUCCAUAGUUUCUUUAGUUACUUUUCUAAUCUCUUAUAUCAUCUUGUUCAAUAUAUUAUUUUCACUUCCUUGUGGUUGUUGGAAUCCUCCCUCAAAAAUAUUGUGUUGAAAACUCCCUUGUUUUUCACCUUUUAAAUAUCACCACUUGAUCUAUGAAUCAUCCAUGUGAUUUAUUCUCUUCUGUCUCCUCUUGACUCUUACAUCCAUAACCAAUACUCUAUUUCGAGUAGUCAUGCUCACUCUCGAUAUAACUUUAUAGUCCAAGAAAACCUUACUAUUUGACUUUCUAAUAAGAUAAGAAUCUAUCUAAGAACAUGCCACCCCACUUUUUAUAUGUAAUAAUGUUCAUAUCCUUUCCUAUAGUACGUAUUAGCUAUAAUAAUAUCAAAAUCUGACAAAAACUCUAGGAUGGAUUUACCCUCCCCAUUUACCUCCCAUAGACCAUACCCAAUGCACGCUCUCAAAAUCUCUUGAUACACUCUAUACAUGUCCAUUUAGACCCCCUCUAAGAAAAAUCUUAUCUCCUUGGGGUAUAUAUAUUAAAAUAAGCCUUCUAAAUCCACCAUUUUUUUACUUUAAAGUGUUUUGCUAACCUAACACAAGGUGCGUAUGCACUAAUAACAUUAAAGUGUCUUGUUCUAUUACAAAUUCAAGGGCUAUAAUCCAAUCUCCUACUCUUUUCACAUCCAAAAUAUCAUUCUUCCACUCCUUGUCUAUGAUAUCCCCUACCCUAUUUUCUGAUCCAAUUUUGUUUGCAUACUAAAGCUUAAAACCCAAUUCGUCUAAGUCUUUCGUAUUUUCAUUCGUCCAGUUAGUUUCUUAUAGGCACAUGAAAUUAAUCUUCCUCUUAACCAUAACGUCCAUUAUUUCACUAUUUUUUCUAUAUUUCUCAAUAAAUUUGCCUAUAGUCCAUGUUACAAAGUGAAUCCUACUCUCAUGAACUAACUUCUUUACUAACACCCGUCCACUAAAACUUGAAAACCUUGCUUAAUUUUUAUUACAUCCAAGCAGUGAUGCAACAAUCCUUACUCUUUUGACAUUAUAGUAGAGCCAUAGAACAUGUUGCUUCUAGACAAUUAUAUAACAUUUACAUUAAUAUAUAAUUGAUCUAUGUCAUAGAGUUUCAACAAAAUUUUACGUUGAUUUUCAUCUGCAAAACACAACUUUCUCAUUUUAUCAAACCUUCUGAUCAACUAUGCAUAACUAAUAGAGCAAAUUAAAAAUAUAUAUUAAUGGAACCAACAAAAUAUAAAAAUUAUCAUUAAAACAUCUAUUGUUUAUCAUUUAAAAACUUAGAAUAAAUUGACAAAACAACUGCGAAUAAAAAUUUAAUGAGUUCGCCAUGUUAUUGGUGAAUUCUUAGGUCUAUUGAUUCAUUAUGUAAGAUACUCAACUUGAUGUGUCCUAAGCAUAAUCUAAUAAUGAAAUCAUGGUUAAAAUACACAUAUCACAAAUCCAAAAAUAAUGAUGUUUUCUAAGAUUUUAAACAUAGCACAAUAACAUUAUUUAAUUAUAACUCCAAAAGAAUGUUUUGACAUUUAAACCAAAUAUUAUAGAGUUCAAAUAAAAUAUACUACACAAUUUAAACUAAAUAUAUUAAAACAUCAUUGACAUGUUCUAUACACAAUAGAAUUUCAUCAAAUCUAUAGAGUUAUUCUAGUUCGGAGAAUGUUCAGCGAGGGAACCAGAAUUGAUCGGCGAUUGGCGAAUGUGAAUUACAAUGGUGGAUUUGAGCUUGCGAUGCGGUGGAAGAGGGGCUGACCUACAAGAUUAACACUUCAAGGUCAAAGUCAGUAUGAGAGUAUGAUGAGAUGAAUAAUAUUUGAAUUCCAAUUGUACAUGAUAAAUGGUGUGUCUCCCUAUUAUAUAGUAGACUGGCUAUAACCGCUUGUUGAUUUACUGACGUGGAAUUUAGAAAUCCAUCUAAUUGAUCUUGGAUCGAGAUCAACUGCAUUCUUGACUAAGAUAGCUAUGCAAUUCUUAUUGAUGACCAUUAGUUAUGCAAUCUUCCUCUUCAUGGUCCCCUUGGAUAAGUAAUUUUCCUGCAGGACGCCUCCUGUAACGGCAACAAUAUGAUGGUGGUUCCCUUUAUGAGCUUAUUCUUCCUUGUUGCUUUCCUAUUUUCCCAUGGUCACAUCAUCAACCAUUUCGGUUGAGGACUUGCUCUUCUAGGAAUCAUCAAGGUCUCUCUUGUCGUCAUUAGUUUACUCCGACAGAAGGUCUCUCUUGAUCAAACUAUCGAUUUCAUCCUUCAUCUAGAUGGAUUCAUUGGUGGUGUGGUUGUGACUUUUAUGGAAAAGAUUAUACUUUGAUUUAUCUAUCCAGGAAAACUCCCUAACUAAGAAGGGGUUCUUUAUCCCGAAUUUAUGGAACUCGAUGUUAGCGUAUUAUUUAUAUAUUUUCUCCUGAGAGGUGUUGAAGGGAGUGCACUUGUCAAACCAGUCGUGGGUUCCGUAGUUUCUUUUCUCUCUAUGCCUGUUGGACUCCUUCAUUGAUGACUUAUCAGAGCUUGAGCCCACCGGUGUCUAGUUGUCUCCCCUGGAAAUAAGCUUCUCUUCAUAACUAAUAAAAGGGAUGAGCUCUAUUCAGUAGCUCUUUCAAAUUGAGACCUCAUUACGCCUUAGCUUAGUGCGACACUCUAGUUGGAGCCUACUUCAAUCCAUUUUCAAAAAUCUAGCAUUUCAGCCUCUCGUUGGAGCCUCCCACUUCCACAGAUACUUUCGUAAAGCAGUCAAUAUAGGAUCUCAAAUUCUCCUUUUUGACCUAGGUAAUCUCGCUGAGUGCGACUAUUGUUGUAAGUUGCCUCUUCCGAGCAGUGAACUUUUUACACAAGUCGGUCCUUGAAUCGAUGCUCUAGUAAAAAAGAUAUUUGAACCAUACCAUAGUCAAUCCAGUUAGAGUUAUUGGAAAGAGCUUUCAUUCUGUCGCAUCAUCAAUGUGAUAGUAAUCCAGACGAUCGUCAACGGGUUGCACAUGCUCAUCUGAAUCUCUCUUUCUGUUGUAACCAUUAAAGAUUUGGAGGCUUCUCUAGUGAUUUUAGUAUCCAACUAUCUAGGAUAUGAGCAGAAAAAGGAUGCUUCUUUCGGUCUUUAACUAGAGGGUUCUCCGUUUGUCUAUCUCCUUUUUAGGGUGGCGAACCUCAGAGGGAGUGUGAGUGCCUCUACCUUCUUCAAGAGUGGGAGAAGGAGUUUGACGUCUCUGGAUUCUCUAUUGACUUUGAGAUCUUGGAACUACUUCCAAAUGAGAUGUUUUCAAUUCGGGGACGACAAUAUGACUCCUUUGGGAAACAACAUAUUAUAUUGUGUUGCCCUUUAGAUUUGCGUUAUGCAAGUUUUCCUUGAGGUGGAGUAACCUUUCCUUUAUUACUUGCAAAUUUUGCGGCCAAACCAUGUUGUAAACACUAUUAAACAGUUCCUUAGCGCCUUACACGCCGAGAUUGGCUUACAAUAGCUAGAAACCAGUUAAUUCCUCUGGUCUAGGUAUCACCUGUGGUUUUGGAGGCCCGAGCGACCAUUCACCUUGCUAAAAUUAUGGUGAAGAUCCUAAGAACGAAAGAGGUUGAAAGACUCCUUUAUACGUUCUAGGAUGAACAAGAUCUUGACGCGACAAUUCAGAUAGAAAGUUUACGAGGACCUGAUCACUACCAUUUUGUGAGGAGGAGAUAAAUUGCUUGUAACUCGAGCGAUUGCAGCCGCUUCGCGUUGCGCAACAGAGAGAGUAGUUUUAGAAUCUGCCAUUACUAGUGGACCCAGAUGGAGAUAUGAGAAGCGAUGUUAAUUUUCAAUUGAAGAGGAUCAAGAAUAGAGAUUUGCGGUUCAAAUUCAGUAAAUAUGAAUUUCUAGGUUAAAUAAGCUUCAGUUCAGAUAAUCGAGAGAUGGAUGUUCAAACAUGGAAAACACGGGAAUUCGAUGUCGAUUCUCAUAGACGAUACCACUAUUCUACGAGGGAACCAAAAUUAAUUGGCGACCGACGAAUGUGGAUUGCAACAGUGGGCUUGAGCUUAUAGUGUGAUGGAUGAGAGACUAACCUAUAAGGUUAACACUAAAACACCAAAGUCCCCUUUAUAUAGUAUAAUUUUUGCAACUACUUGCUUAUUUAUUAGCGUGGAAUACGAAGAUCUGCCUAAUUGAUCUUAGAUUGAGAUAACAUGAAUUCUUGACUCGGGUAACAUACAUGUACCGCAUGUAAUGCAAAUGAGUCGUUCAAAUAUCUGGGCCAUAAUUACUAUGUCAUAUGGCUGAUCCAGAAUAGCAAGUAUCAAGAUAUUUCAGGUCCACCGCGGUGUUUCAACGGACAUCAUAAAUUUUUUAUGGUCGACAAACGAGAAAACGUCAAUUGAAAAGAUUUUAAUAGAGAUGAAUGUUGUCAAUAGAAGAACUGCCACAAUUAUGUCUUGAAUCACUAACUAUGUCAUACCCCCAAAAUAGAUUACUAUUUGACCCACGAAAACAACCGUAUUCUUCAAACUUCCAACACACCCAACCUUCCACACACAAAUCUCACAACACAACCUAACUACAUAGACACGCCUCAACAAUUCUUUAACACACAAUACCAACGCGUAUAAAACAUCCAUCAAUAACAAAAACAAUUUAACUCUUAUCUUUAACAAUAAAAUAUCAUACAAUCCCACCCACUAAACAUACUCACUCAAACAUAUCUUACACCUCAACUAAACUACAAUUUUAAAACAUCACAAAAACAAUUUCCAUUACAUACUCUCCCCCAAAUAGAUUACUAUUUGACCCACAAAACACCGUAUUCUUCAAACUCCAAACACACCCAACCUUCCACAGACAAAAAUCUCAGCAACACAACCUAACUACAUAGACACGCCUCAACAAUUCUUUAACACACAAUACCAACGCGUAUAAAACAUCCAUCAAUAACAAAAACAAUUUAACUCUUAUCUUUAACAAUAAAAUAUCAUACACCAACCCCACUAACACAUACUCACUCAAAUAUAUCUUACACCUCAACUAAACUACAAUUUUAAAACAUCACAAAAACAAUUUCCAUUUUAUCCAACACUACUAUUCACCACAAAUCCACCCAACAACAAAACUUCUUCUACACCUCCAUUGACAUAUGAACCCAUAAUAUAGCACAAUCAAUCUUUCAUUUCACAAGCAACAAAUUAAAAUUUUGAAAGCGUGACUCAUGACACAUUCUUCGAUGGGAUCAAAAAUUACAUAUUUUUGGAUAAAAUAAGGAUUUCUUCUCCACCCCGUAAUGUUGAGAACCAACCAAAAAUUUGUAAGAGUACUCAACAAGGAGCAUAUCGUAUUUUUGGAAGAGUACUCAACAAGGAGCAUAUCGUCGAUGUGGAACAAAUUGCAAGAAUCCGACCAACAUGAACUAUACCAUUUCUUCUUUUAAAUUAAUAUAAUGAAGUUUAAUUAUUUUAAUUGUAAUAUAAUUUUAAUUUAUUGUAUUAAUACUUUUUAAGUAAAUACAAUAAUUUAUUAUAUAAUUCUUGUAUUAAUUAAUUCUUUAAAAUUAAUAAUUUUUAAUUAAUUAUCAAAUAAUUAAUUAGUAACUACAAUUAAAUAAAUAAUUUUAGAAAAGAGGGAUGUAUGUUGAAAAUAGGAGAAAAUGUGUGGAAUAGGAAUUUGGAUCCUCUCCUUCUCUUUUCUAACUCUCUAUCUCUCUCAGUUUUAUUUUCUCUUUUCAUCAAAAUAAGAAAAUAUAUUUAAGAAAAAAAUGAAUUAAUAUAGAGUAUGGAGAGAAAAAGAAAGAAUAGUAAAGGAUUCAAUUCAAGUAGAAUGAGGGGAAAAAAUUAAGAAAUUCACUUCAAUUAGACUACACGUCAUCAAUCUAAGGAUAGGAACAAGUAAAUACUAAAAGAAAAGGAUAGGGACAAAACCUAUACUAGUAGUACUCUUCUAUAAUCACUCUAUCAUGAUUUUCAUGCCAAUUAUGACACUAAAAUCCAUGAUGCUGCCGAUGCAUUCAAUUCCCACCUGUGGAAGAAGGGUCAACUCUAUGAUUUUAUAAUUAUUUUACUAGUACUUCUAUACUAGAACUUUUUUAAAUCAAAAUAUCACCCUUUUAUAACUUAGUUCUCACAUUAUCAUCAUUCUCAACUUAAUUAUCAAAUAUUGUAUUUUAAACAAAAAUAAUAAUUUUAAAUUACUAGAAUUUUAAACAAAAAUAAUAAUUUCGGCAAUGGAAUUGAAAGACCCUUUCUUUUAAUUAUAUUUUAUUUUUAUGCUUAUAAAUAUAUAUUUUGACAAAAUUUCUCAGAUUUUAAAAAAUUCAAAAUCUUGAAUUCAAGACAUAAAAUUUGUUAAUUUUUUAAGUAAAAUAUUUUUAACAGAUUUUAACAAGUUUAAAAUUUGAAUUUUUUUUAUCACUCGUAUCCAAUCCACUAGAUAUAUUAAUUUGAUUUGAAGAUUAGUUCUGACAUCAAAUCGUUUCAAUCCUCUAUCAAACACAAUUGUGGAGAUUGAACUGUAAUUAUUUCUAUCAAAUACAACGCUAAUCACUAGUGAACAAAAUCUUAAAUUUAAUAAUAAAAAGUUAAAAUAAAAGAGUAUGUGAAUUCAAUUAUAUUUUAAAGAACCGUUUAUUAUAUUUGAGAAUUAAUUUUGAAUAAGAAUUAAUUUUAAAUAAAUAGUAAUAUGAGAAUAAAGAUCGGAAAGGAUGGUGGGUUAAAAAAUGACCUAUAUUUAAUGUUAUUGAUUCUUUUUAAAAAGUGUUACUGAUUUAAAUAAAAUAUUUUUAAUGUUGUCUAUUAAGAAAAUUUAAGAAAAUGACAACAUAUCAAUAAUUUAAGGAAGACUAUUUUGAUGUGAGGUAAUUCUUUUUUAUAUUAUUAAUAUUAUUUUAAUUUAGAAUAAAAUGAGGUUAUCAGAAGUCAACGACAGUAAUGGAUAGCGGUGGAAUGAAGUUAAAUCGAAACGGCGGAAGGUUUAGGACAACGCGAAAUCAUUCUAGUUUAGAAGGGAGAGAAAUUCGGUGGUCUCAACCUUGUUCUUCACUUCUUUUCUAGAGAAGUUGAGAGUUAAGUAGAUAUACAAUAUUUUCAAGGGCUGUGGUGAGAUCAAUGAGGUUAUUAUUCAGGCGAAAAGGGACAUAAGGGGCAGAAGGUACACAUUUGUUUGGUUUUUUAGGGUGCAUAAUGAGAGAUUGUUGGCGACUAAGCUAGACAACAUCAUUCUGGGUAAUGUGAAGCUCCAUGCUAACCUUCAUAUGUUUACAAGAACAUUGAAAGGUUCUUUUACCAGAGGUAGAAAGGAUGAGGAUGGGACAGGGUGAAUGGAGUUUCAAAUCAGGGUUUCGUUUCGAGGAAAACAUUAGGGAAUGAGACGAAUGAAGGCUUCAAAGGAUUCAAAUCUUUUGCGUAAGUUCUUAGUCAAGGUAAGUCACAUGCAAAAGGUAAUCGUGAAUGUCAAAGAUUUCAUUCAUUCGGUGGUCAUGGUCAAAGGGGAGUGAUUCUACUUCUUUUCAAUGAUUUGAACGAAGAAGUUAUUACUAGAUUCAACAAGGUAUGGAUUGGUGAAAUGCUUGAGUCAAGAAUUUCUUAUAACAUGCAAACCAUCUUUGAAACGAAUGGUUAUUUUGCGGUGAAAGUGACUCUGCUUGGAGCAAACCUCUGCUUAUUGGAAGAAAGAGAUGCAUGGGAGAUUAAGAAGUUGGUGGUUUAAGGAAAGAACUGAAUAGGUCAGUGGUUCAAGGAUAUUAAAAGGUGGAAUCCUUUGGAGUUGGACAAUGAGGGGUUACAUGGUUACACGUCCUGUACCAGUAUAAGUACCCGCACUAGCUACAUACCCGUACCUAUGCAUCAUAGGUGAGGGUUAAUGGUACGUUGUUUAACAUCAAGAUCGUUGAAGAUUCGUAUGUUCCCCUCAUAAUUAUUUUAUCGAGAGAGUGUAAAAGGCUUGUGGAGUCGUCAGAUUCUGAUGGUUCCUCCGAUGCCAGAGAAUAAGAUGAUUUUUUUAAGGAUGAGAAAGCUGAUAGCUCGAAACUUGAGCUGAAAGUUGAUGGUGAUGUUUCAUGUCCUAUGUAUGUGGUGACAAGGAGUUCAAAAGGUGCAUAGGAAGUUGUGGAGCUAGAUCACAUCAAUAAUGUAGCUUUUGUUGAUUUGAAGGGUGAGAAAGAGAACAUGGUGAUUGAUCAUAAUAAGGAGGAUUUGUAGGUGGUUAUUUUGGAGAAAGAAGUUGAUGUAGAGUGUGCAUGGAAAAAGGGGAUAAGGGUGUUGGCUAAGUCGUUUAAGUCAACUCUUUUUGAACAUGUGGUAGGUAGAGAUGUGGAAAGGUUCCUAGGUUUUGUACGAAAGGGAGUUGUUUCCAAGAAGGGAGAGUCUAAAUUUUUUUAUGAUAUUUUGGUUACUUCAAAGGUGUCUAACGUUACAUAAUCUGAUUAUCAAUGAGCAGUCAGUGGACCUUACUGGUAUGCGGGUUGACCCUAUUUCUAAAGUAGUUAGGGUCUUGUUAGAAGAGUCUUAUAAGACCCAUUUCAGUUCUGAGAGAAAUAACAUGAAGAAGCAAAAAUAAGGGUUUGGUAAGCAAUCUUAUUUUUCUGCUCUUAGACCUCCGAUUAGCUUUGUUCAGAACCGACAAGCUGAUGCGUCUGUUCAACCUGCUUCUUCUUCAGCUAAAUUCUCUAGAGGUAUCGUGCUGUGUUGCAAAAAGAUGUCAGAUGAUGAUGUGGUGUAAGGGAAUAUAAGGUUCUUGGUUUCUAAUAAGGAGCGAUUGGCGAUACAAACUGGGGAAUGGUUCGAAGCGUUGAGGAUUAACGAUGUUGAUGAUAUUGAAGCUCAUUUAGAAGCAAUCAAAUUAAUUAAAGACAUGGAUGAUGUGGGGAAUGUUAAGAGGUAUGCUAAGUCAAAUGGUGAAAAAUUAAUUUUAUUUCUCUCAAUGUGAAAGGGAUUGGUAGUUCCUAAAAUAAGGAGGCGGUUAGGAAGUUGAUUAAGAAGGGUCAAUUUAAUGUUUUUUUAUCCAGGAAACGGAAUUAUAGUUGAUUGACGAUGAUUUGGUGAGGGAGUUUAGUGGUCGACUAAGGAAAAUGUUGGUAGAACUAGGGGGGGGGGGUCAUUGAUUAUGUGGAAAUUAGGUGCAUUUUUUAGUAAUAUGAGUUUUGUUGGAGAAGGAUUUAUUGGUAUUUCUGUUGUGUGGAAGGAAACUAUUAUGUAUCUUGUGAAUGUCUAUUCGUCUUGUCAUUUUAAUUUGAAGCACUUGUUAUGAAGGAGUUACCGGAGUGUAAGGCUAAGUUUGAUGGUGGUGAAUGCAAUAUUGGUGGUGAUUUCAACUCUAUUAAGAGGGCGAAAUAGAGGACAUGUAUUAGUUUGGUUGUCAAUAGGGCGGAAUUUAGAGAGUUUAUCAAUAUGAGUGAGCUUAUGGAUAUUUCUCUUAUUAGGGGUAAAUUCACUUGGUAUAAGGCCGAUGGUUCUGCUAAUAGUUGUUUGGAUCGGUUUCUUAUCUCUGAUGGUUUGCUUAUUAGUUGGAAGCUAGAGGCUCAAGAGGUGGGGAUUAGGUAGAUCUCGAAUCACAAUUGAAUUUAGAUUAGAAGUAAAGAGAUUGAUUGGGGUCUUAAACCGUUCAUUGAUUAUGUGGAAAUUAGGUUCAUUUUUUAGUAAUAUGAGUUUCGUUGGAGAAGGAUUUAUUGGUAUUUCUGUUGUGUGGAAGGAAACUAUUAUGUAUCUUGUGAAUGUCUAUUCGUCUUGUCAUUUUAAUUCGAAUCACUUGUUAUGAAGGAGUUACUGGAGUGUAAGGCUAAGCUUGAUGGUGGUGAAUGCAAUAUUGGUGGUGAUUUCAACUCUAUUAAGAGGGCGAAAUAGAGGACAUGUAUUAGUUUGGUUGUCAAUAGGGAGGAAUUUAGAGAGUUUAUCAAUAUGAGUGAGCUUAUGGAUAUUUCUAUUAUUAGGGGUAAAUUCACUUGGUAUAAGGCCGAUGGUUCUGCUAAGAGUCGUUUGGAUCGGUUUCUUAUCUCUGAUGGUUUGCUUGUUAGUUGGAAGCUAGAGGCUCAAGAGGCGGGGAUUAGGUAGAUCUCGAAUCAUAAUUGAAUUUAGAUUAGAAGUAAAGAGAUUGAUUGGGGUCUUAAACCGUUCAAGUUUUUUUCUAAUUGGAUUGAUCACCAAGAUUUUGUCUCCUUUAGGAAAUCCAUUUGGGAGGCUAAUGUUAUUGUUGGUAAAAGGGCUUUCGUGUUGAAGGAUAAGUUGAAAAUUCUUAAAGCUCAGUUACGUCUGCGGAAUAAAACUAUGUUUUGUUCUUUGAAUUUGUAGGUUAAUGAAGCGACUAAAAAUAUUUAUGUGUUGAAUGGCUUAGCUGCUACAGGCAAUGAGGAGGCGUGUAUGCAGUUUAUGGAGGAGCAUAUGUUAGCUUCUUAUUCCAUUUUGACUGCUAUGCAGCGUUGGGAGAAUGAUCCCAGGAAGAAAUCUAGAUGUAAGUGGGUUAAUGAGGGGGAUAGAAAUUCCGAUUUUUUUCAAAAUUCCUUGAAGGAUAGGUUUAGGAGAAAUUCGGUAGUGGUGUUGGAGACGAGUUGAGGUAGAAUUGAGUAGGUGGAGGAAAUAAAGAUGGAAGUUUAUUCUUCUUUCAAGAAAAAAUUCAUUGAGAGGAAGUAUUCUAGGCCGAAGCUCGAUGGGGUGAAAUUUAGUAUAUUGUCUAAUGCUGAGUCUUAUUUUUUGGAGGCUCCGCUUCAAUUGGAGGAGAUCAAAGAGGUUGUUUGGAGUAGCGCGGGGGAUAAAAGUAUCGGUCCGAACGGGUAUAAUAUAUGUGUCUUUAAGAUUUGUUGGGAAAUUGUGCAAAAGGAUAUUAUGGGGUUCAUUAACGAUUUUUACGAUAAUAAAAGGAUGCCUAAAGUAGUGACCGCAUCUUUCAUUGUGUUGAUUUCUAAGGCUGCCAAUCCUCAAUUCCUUGAGGAAAAUUCAGCCCCAUAUGCCUUGUGGGGUAUUUGUACCAGAUUGUAUAGAAGAUAUUGUCCAAUUGAGUGAAAAAUGAGGUGUGAAAGUUAAUUUCUUCCCAACAAUCUAUUUUUAUUCCAGAAAGAGCUAUGAUAGACAAGGUUUUAGCGAUUAAUGAAAUCAUUGACUUUGCUGUUAGAUAUAAAAAGGAGUGUGGACUAACUAAAGUAGAUUUUGUAACAACUUAUGAUUGCGUUUCGUGGGAAUAUUUGAGAUACAUGUUAGGAAGAAUGAAUUUUGGUUUAUGGUGGCUUAGAUUGAUGGACAUGUUGGUCUUCUCAAGUUCAUUUAUCAGUUUUAUUCAAUGGCACCCCCUCAAUGGACUUUAAUGUGGGGAGAGGUCUUCUUCAGGGGGAUCCACUAUCUCCUUUUUUGUUAUUGAUAGCGGCGAAAGGUCUUUCAGGGUUAAUGAAGAACAUUAUUCAGUUGGAUAAGUUUCACGGGUUCAGGUUCAAUGAUGAUGUGCACUACUUACAAUUUUGAUUUUUGAUGGGAACUUGGAUAACUUAUGAACUAUUAAAGCGUUGUUGCGUAGUUUCGAGUUAGAUUUCACGUUGUGUGUGAAUUUAAAUAAAAGCAAGGUGUAUGGGUUUAAUCUUCAAGAGGAUAUUUUGUGUGUGGCGUCCAACUUUCUUGUGUGUUUUGUGGGUUCAAAACCUUUUAAUUUUUUUUUGUAUUCAAGUGGACCCAAAUCCUAGAAAGAAGGCAACUUGGAAUCGUAUUGUGGAUAAGGCGAGGAAGAGACUUUCCAAGUGGAAGAGGAAACAAAUGUCUAUUCGUGUAAAGGUUGUGGUACUAAAUGCAAUUCUAACAAACUUACCCGUUUUUCAAAUCUCAUUCUUCAAAGCACCCAAAUGAGUGAUUCAAGAUAUUAUCAAACUGCAAAGAGCCUUUCCGUGGGGCGGGAUGAAUUGAAGAAGAAGAUUAAUCGGAUGAGUUGGUCUUCUAUUUGUAAGUCUAAGAAGCAGGGGAGUUAAGGGCUCAAGGAUUGUGGAAAGUUCAAUUUGGCAUUGCUUAGUAAAUGAAAUUGGAAAUUUUGUCCGAACCUGGUUCCUUUUGGUUCAAGAUUUUGGCAUUCCGAUAUGGUGAUGUGCAAGCGCAAAUGAAGGAUUCUCCUUGUUUGAUAUUAGGUAAAAAUAUUUUAAUUUGGUGGAAAGACUUGAUUGGUUUAACUUCAGAUUGUCUGGUAAAGUGUCAGACGAUUUUGUGUAAGCUUGAGAUUGGUAAUAGUAUUCGUUUAUGGAGGCAUACUUCGAUUGGGCAGACUUCUCUGAUGCAGCAGUUUUAGAAUUUGUUUUGUUAUGUGACGAAAUCGAAUAUAUUGGUGUGAGAUGCUAGUAAUUGGAUUGGCGGUGGUUGGUUUUGGGACAUGUAGGUUUCAGAAGCUCAUGCUGGCAGUGCGAAUGUUGUAGCAUAAUUGUUAUUGGCGUCUGAAAUAUUGCAGGAUGUUUGGCCCAAUUGUUUCAUGGAAAAGUGUGAAGUUGAUUUCUCGAUGAAGCAUAAUUACGAGCUGUUGGAAGCGUUAGAGCCGAAAUUAGUGCUCAACGUUGAAAUAUUGCAUGGACUUACUAAAAUAUUGCAUUGUAAAAUUCUAAUGAAAAAUUAGAUAGGUUGGUUGAUGUGGCCUUGGCUGGUGUUGGUGUAUUUGAUGUUAUAGAAAAUUUGAUUAAAAGUUUAGAUCUUGCGUAAGAUAGAUUAAGUAAUUUGUUUAUGAGUCUUUUGUAAUUGGGAUAAGUAAUUUCUAAUAGGGGUGUGCAUGGAUCAUAAACCAAAAAAUCGAUUUACAAGUGGAUCGGUUUAGUUUCAAACCGGUUUCUCACAAAAAAUCAUUUAAAAAAAACCAAUUUUAAACCGUUGUCUUUCAAAAUCAAUUUUUUUUAUUUUCUUAAAAAAAUUAAUUCCAAAACCAACUUUAUAAAAAAAACACCAGUUAUUAAAACUCUAUUUAAAAAAAAUUAAUUUUAUAUCAAAAAUAGUUUUAUUUUAUUUUAAAAAUUAUAUUAAAACUUUUUUUAUUUUAAUUAAUUAUAAAACUAUUUUAUAUAAAAAAAUAUUUAUUUUAAAAAAUUACUUUAAAUUUGACUUCUAUAAUCCCCACAAGUAAUAUUUUGAUUAAAAACAAUCCCAAAGUAUGAUGUUACAUUAAAAUGAUCAUAAAAUUAAAUAAUUACGAAUCAUAUCUCUAUAAAUCAUAAUUAUUUAUAAAAUGAAUAACUCAUAAAAAAAAUGUUCAACCUUCUAAAAUCUCUCAUUAUUAUUUAUAAAAUAAAUAACUUGUCAAAAAAAUUAUUCAAGCUUCCAAAGUCUCUGAUGUAGGUGGAAGUGUUGAAACCGUAUUCUCGAAUGUUGUAUACAUUGACAUCUUUAAGAAAUUAUGUAAAAAGUAAAAAUUAAAUGAAUUUAUAUAAAAUUUUAAUUUCUUCAUUUUGGGAAAUAUUAAUUUUUCCAUAGAACUUGUUAAAAGUAUAAUUUGGAAAUCACUAUUUUCAACUAAUAUUGCUAAUACAUUUAACUUGUGGACUAACAACAUACAACAAUUAGAAACAAACUUUAAAAUCCAUGAUGAAACUUUAUAUUAUAACAAUCUAUAGAUUAUAUUGAAGAUAAUAAACUCUAAGAAACUCCUAUAGCUUAUGGACUGCAAUAUUUUUAGAUCUUAUACUGAACAAUAUUGUGGUGAUAUGUAUUCGAGACAUAAUUAUUUUCAGAAUAUAAUAUUUUUUUUUUGUAAAUAGAAAAAAAUUAAAUUCUACAAGUUUUUUUAUUUUGAUUUUUUUAAAUUUUUUUAUAAAAUUUAAAAGAAUUAAUAAACUAUAAAAUUAAUUUAUAAUGUAUAUAUAACUAUAUGAUAAAAAAAUAAAAGAAAUAAAUAUAUUAAAAAAAUCAACUCCAAAACCAAUUUUUUAUUUUCUUAAAAAAAUCAAUUCCAAAACCAAUUUUAUAAAAAAAACACCAGUUAUUAAAACUCUAUUUAAAAAAAAAUUAUAUCAAAAAUAGUUUUAUUUUAUUUUAAAAAUUAUAUUAAAACUUUUUUUAUUUUAAUUAAUUAUAAAACUAUUUUAUAUAAAAAAAUAUUUAUUUUAAAAAGUUAUUUUAAAUUUGACUUCUAUAAUCCUCACAAAUAAUAUUUUGAUUAAAAACAAUCCAAAAGUAUGAUGUUACAUUAAAACAAUCAUAAAAUUAAAUAAUUACGAAUCAUAUCUCUAUAAAUCAUAAUUAUUUAUAAAAUGAAUAACUCAUAAAAAAAUUGUUCAACCUUCUAAAAUCUCUCAUAAUUAUUUAUAAAACAAAUAACUUUCAAAAAAAUUAUUCAAGCUUCCAAAAUCUCUGAUGUGGGUGGAAGUGUUGAAACCGUGUUCUCGGAUGUUGUAUAAGUUGACAUCUUUAAGAAAUUAUGUAAAAAGUAAAAAUUAAAUGAGCUUAUAUAAAAUUUUAAUUUCUUCACUUUGAAAAAUAUUAAUUUUUCCAUGGAACUUCUUAAAAGUAUAAUUUGGAAAUCACUAUUUUCAAUUAAUAUUGCUAAUACAUUUAACUUGAAACUUUAAAAUCCAUGAUGAAGCUUUAUAUUAUAACAAUCUAUAGAUUAUAUUGAAGAUAAUAAACUCCUAUAGGUUAUGGACUGCAAUAUUUUUAGAUCUUAUACUGAACAAUAUUGUGGUGAUAUGUAUUUGAGACAUAAUUAUUUUCAAAAUAUAAUAUUUUUUUGUAAAUAGAAAAAAAAUUAAAUUCUACAAGUUUUUUUUUAUUUUUAUUUUUUUAAAUUUUUUUAUAUAAAAUUUAAAAGAAUUAAUAAAAUAUAAAAUUAAUUUAUAAUGUAUAUAUAACUAUAUGAUAAAAAAAUAAAAAAAAAUAAAAAAAUAAAAGAAAUAAAUAUAUAAAUUUAAUAUAUAAUAAAAUUUAAAGAGAUUAACUAUUAUACACUGUCAGGGUUGCAUUACUAUAUAGAUUUUCAAAAUAAAAGCUAAAUUUAUAGAUUUUUAAAAUAAAAGUCAAAUUUAUUUUAAUAUCCAACAUUUAAGAUUAAUUGACGGUGUAAAAUCUUAUCAGUGUAUUUUAAUGUCAUUAUAAUUACCGAUUUAUAUUAACAAAAUAAAUCCUCAUAUUUAUAUUUUAACAAUUUAGUUAUAUAACCGAUUUUUUUCUCUUCCCUAAUCCCUGAUAUAUCUCAAAAUUCAUUUUGCUUUUCAAAAAGAAAUUAAGUAAAAUAAAUCUCAUUCAUAUAAAGCAUAAGGUGUUACUUGUAACACCUGUGGACCAUCAAAUUGGCACCCUUAUCUUCCUUUUCAAAAGAUGAGUAAACUAUUGCACAUUUCAAUGAGCAUUUAUUUUCCCUGUUUCUGACAACAAGUGUACAGUUUUUAUGAAAACAAGGCAGAAUAAUUUACAACAAUUUAAUGGUUCAUAUUAGCCGAACUUUAAUCCAUAAACAAAGAAACCAUAGUUAAGCCGAACUUAAAAUACACACCCAUCACAAAUCCAAAACAAUGGAUUUUGAUUAAAGAUUUUAAACAUAACAAACAACUUUAUUUUAUUCUAUAACUCCAAAAGGGCGUUUGACAUUUAAAUAAAACACCAGAGUUCACAUAAAACAUACUAGUACAUAAUCAUAACUUAUUAUCCUGCCACUAAACGGGGUAAAAACCACUUCAUUUGCAGGUGCAAGGGUUGCAAGUGCAGUUUGCUCCACAUUUGCAGCCAUCAUUCUCAGCUCCCAUCUCAGCACUCUCAAAUUGAGUCUUCUCAGAUCCAACUCCCAUGAUCAGUGUCUCAGAGCUUGUUGCCUCGGUGUAGCUCAAAUCAGCAUACAUCUUGCACCUACAUCAAAACCAAAAUCAAAUAUUUCAGCCAAUUGAAACAACAUCAACUAAAAUUUUUGUAAUGAACACCGACACUGAUAUAUCUAUACUGAUAGAGACGUAGAUAAAAAAUUAAUAUAAUUAUAAUUGUGAUAACACUAGUCUCGGAGUCAUUUUCCGAGGUGUCGGUGCUAAAAUUUCCAGGGUCUAAAACCCUAAUACUAGAGAAACAAAGAAUAAAGUGAUCACAAUUUCUACAAACGAAAACAAAUCAAAGACAUGAUGAAAGAAAAUCUGACCCUCCGCAGCCAGAGCCGCACUUGCAGCUAGUACCGCAACCACAGUUUCCACCACAGCAAGACAUUUUCAGAGGAUGAAAUGGAUCAAACACAAGAACAAACAACAAAAGCUGAUUUAAGACACAAUCAAACAACACAAA
rnacentral:lncRNA from 1 species